ACAUAAACCAUAAAGCUAAAACAAACACAAAAAUAACUUAUUUAUACGAGUAUAAAAGAAAAAAAUCCCAAAAAAUCUGAAAGCCUUUAAAGAAAACUAUGCCAAUUGCCGAACACCCCCUAAAUAAUACUUUCAAGUUAAUGAUGCGAAAGCCGUUAAUUUGUUGAAAUAACUGAAUGAAAGAGACGUGGUUUAUCUUGAAUAUAUAUUGUGAUCAUCAAAUUGCUACCAGGCGUGUUAAGAGUUUAUCCCAUUGAGAGCCACUCAGAGACACCGGCAACUCUUCCAAUCCUUGACAACCACUAAUAUUAAGCACUCUCAGGCCACUUAGCUCGCCAAUCUUUUUGGGAAUUCUUUUGAUACUUGAACACUCAGAUAUAUCAAGCACGGUCAGAUCUUGUAGUUCUUCUAUUGAUUUUGGUAAUUCUUGUAAUUUUGUGCAGCAACGAAGCCUAAGGAUUUUAAGCUUUGACAGGUUCCCUAAUUCUUUAGGAAGAGCAUCCAGUUCUUGGCAUGUGUUGAUGAUCAGUUUCUGAAGCUGGACAGAACUACAUAGUCCUUCUGGUAGUUCCGUCAGAUCAAAACAGCAAUCUAGUUCGAGAUGCGUCAGAUUUGGUAGCAUAUAAGGAUAGUCGGUUGUACCACUAUUCAGAGACUUACCUAUCUUACAGGUAACAAAGGCUGGAUAAAGAACCCAAAAUUUGAAGCUCUUCUAGUUGGGUAGGAUAAACUCCGUAGCCUGUGACAAUCAAAACCUUCAGUUGGCUCAUUGUCUCAAUGAAUUUGGGCAGGGUGUAACUUUCACUCCUUAUGUUCAGUAUCAAUACUUCGACCAUUGGUGCCUUUAGAUGAUGCCAUUCUGAGCUAAAUGCUUCAUCUGUAGUUAAUUAUUGUGUUAAGGUUAUUAAAUAAAGAGUGCAUAUAGUUUACCACAUCUAAUUAGAUUGUGCUCAUCUUAAACGAAACUCCGUAUACCCGAAGAAAUAAUACCUGUCGUAAUAGACAUGACAUAGGCAUUGAUGCAUUGUUCUUCUUGUUUACUCCACCAUGUAGGAAAGACAUUCCUCUGUAUGUCUAGGAGCAGACGUUCUCUUUCUGCAGCAUGCCCUUGGCCACUCUGGUGGAUGGCUAACUCUCUUAGUAAAUCAUGCUGUGUGACAUAAUGCUCAUUGUCAUAGCCUUCUAGUUCACCGACAUGUUUCCUAUAAAGCCAUACAUGGGAAUAAGAUUGAUAAGAUUUCGUGAUGAGAGCUCAAGGAGGUAUUCACUUGAAUCCAUGACCUCGUCUUCAAGAUUGUACAACUCCACCCACAUAUCCAUAAGAACAGUAUCUGUAAUCCGCUCAUCUUCAGGAAAUGAACCAAGGUCCAAGAAACAUUUCCUGAUAAUGGGCAGCUCAUCCAAUGCAUCAAGGCUUGUCUGGAGACAAAGCAGCAGUUUGCUGUCUGACUGCAAAAAUGAUUGACCAUGAGAGCGUUUCUUGAGAAUGGUUCUCCACUUGCUCACUGGUUGCCCACAGGUCAAUGAACCAACUAGGUUUAGGGCCAGUGGGAAGUUUUUGCAGAACUUAACCAUCUACAUCCGGAAGCAAAUAAAAAAAAAAAGUUAGUGGACUAUACAUGAGAACCACACUAUUUUCCAAGUAUCAAGAAAUUGUUUCCUUUACCUCGUUCACUAGAUUAUCUGGCACAUGACUUGGAUUCCUAUUGUUUGGAAAUGCGUUGUAGCAAAGAAGAGCCUUUGCAUCUUUAUGACUUAACAAGCUCAACUGAUAAGUGGAGUUAAAUCUUGGAAAUAAGAACCUUGAUGUAACCAAAAUUUUAUAUCCUGGUAUUUGGAACUUAAGGUCCUGAAUGUGGGAUUCUGAUUCAGACCAGACAUCAUCCAGCACAAGCAGCAUUUUAUCUGAUCCCAUCUUCCUCCGCAUCAGUUUUUGGGCGAUGAUCAUAAGGCUAGACACUCUUGAGACAGUAACAUAAAGGAUGUUCCCACCAAAUGUGCCUGUCAACAUACAAAUAUUUGUAGGCUGACAUAAAUGUUGAAAACCUUAAAUGAAGAAUCUAAUAACAACAUUCACAGUGACAGGAUAUAAAAAAAGGGGUAUUGUGAGUACCUUUUAUCUCAUCGUCAUGACAAAACAUCUUGGCCAAGGUAGUCUUCCCACAACCACCUGGAGCUGAAAUCACCAAAACACGGGUUUCAUCCUUGAGCAGUCUAAACUUCAAUUCUGCAAGAUGCUCAUCCAAACCAACAAUAAGUUCUGGAAGCCCUGGAACACUGCACCAACCUGAUAAUCCUCCAGUGCCAGCUGCAAAUUUAUGGUAUGCGUUCCAGGACCUCACAUUGGAGCACUUGAUCACAAGGUCUGCCGCGUCCUUUAAAUACCGGGUUAUUUUUUCUUCUGUGGGACGAUUCAAGACAUUUUUCAACUCCAUAAUUGUUAAAAGUUUCGGCCUGAUAUCUUUAAGGGUGGUUUCAAGGCGUUGGAGUUC